CAUAUCACCAUUUUCCGUACGAUCACAGAAGUUAAGUAGCGUCGAGCCUAGUCAGUACUUAGAUGGGUGACGGCUUGGGAAUACCAGGUGCUGCAAA